rnacentral:lncRNA from 1 species
ACAACAGACAAGAUACGACGAUCAACAAACUUUGGUUUGAAAGUUCCAGAUAUCUGCAGCAACAUGAGCGUUCAACCAGAAAUAAAAGUUGUCUUGUACAGCAAUACCAACCUCACUGGCGACUGUGUACCAGUCUCUGCAGACAUACCCGAUUUGACAAUCUUUAAGAACAGGGCUCAGUCAGCCAUUGUAAUCCAUGGAAGAUGGGAGCUGAAAAGCGCUGCGGGGAAUACAUACCCUCUUGUCGAGACAGUCGGAAAGUAUACUGACUUAGGUACUUUCAAACAACAGGCCAUGUCCAUCACCCGUGUAUAAGGCGCCGUUGACAUGAAGGAGACCCUCCCGACAAAAGGACAUACCAGCCACCUGCAUUUCUGCACUUUCCUGUACUCUUAAUUUUCCUUUACUCCAGAUUAUUAUGCUUUUAAUGUCUAACGUUUAGCUAUGCUUAAGUGGGUUUGCUUGAGGUGGGGAUAGGAAUCGACGUAGGUUGUAAGUGUGUGGUUAUUACAGUGUUCAGAGACACAGGGUGUACUCUCACUGCCUCUUUUGGACAGUUUUGUAAGUCAAAAUCACGAAUGGUCAUACUACCUACAGAUAAACUCGACAGAGCAAUUACAUCAUCUCAAUCCCAACAAUGAUGUCUUUAAUUUCACAGUAAAAUGAUUAUUAAAAAACGAUGCAGAAAAUUAUUGCUCCUUUCUAUUCUGUAGUGCUCGGUGUAACGUUAACUUUUCCACCUGUGCGCUUUGCUUCACAUAUACUAUGAUUCGUUUUGAACAAUGAAAGCUAAAAAGAUGAAGGUCACAUUGCGUUGUUGAAAUUAAGUCUUAAAUUGAAGAAGUUGUAUUGAUAUUUGAACAUGCGUAGAGCAAAAUUAGGAACAGUCAAUUUUCAAGCGCUCGCUACUCUUUUGAUGAUGAAUUUUCUGCCCUCAGUGUUGUACAUUAUGUUAUUUGACACUAUACAGAGUAAAGAAAUAAUAGACAAAAGUGGGGAAAAUUGUGAUUCCUUUCGUUGUUGAAAAUAAACAUUUGAUGAAAUUUUUACAUUUCUUGCGUGUUUGUAUUCGUGCACAUGAGGUAUGACCGUGUCUUUGUCUGUUGCAAAUAAACACAAAUCUUGGAUUUCCA